GUGGGGAAUAUUGGACAAUGGGCGAAAGCCUGAUCCAGCAAUGCCGCGUGAGUGAUGAAGGCCUUAGGGUUGUAAAGCUCUUUUACCCGGGGUGAUAAUGACAGUACCGGGAGAAUAAGCCCCGGCUAACUCCGUGCCAGCAGCCGCGGUAAUACGGAGGGGGCUAGCGUUGUUCGGAAUUACUGGGCGUAAAGCGCACGUAGGCGGCUUUGUAAGUCAGGGGUGAAAGCCUGGAGCUCAACUCCAGAACUGCCUUUGAGACUGCAUCGCUUGAAUCCGGGAGAGGUAAGUGGAAUUCCGAGUGUAGAGGUGAAAUUCGUAGAUAUUCGGAAGAACACCAGUGGCGAAGGCGGCUUACUGGACCGGGAUUGACGCUGAGGUGCGAAAGCGUGGGGAGCAAA
rnacentral:rRNA from 1 species